GAUAUUGGUCAAUGGCCUAACGGCUGAACCAGCAACUUGGAGGAAUGUAUAGAGAAAGCUGGUAAAAUGCGAUGUAUCUAAUAGUAUUAGUAAUUAAUAUGAUAUUAACUAAGUUAAUUAAAAUUCAAUGUAGAUAUCUGAUAAUGACAGUAUUUGCUUAUGUCUUGACCAAAUCACGUGCCAGCAGUCGCGGUAAGACGUGGAAGAUAAGUGUUAUUCAUCUUUAACAGGUUUAAAGGGUACCUAGACGGUUAAUUAAACACCCUAAUGUAUUAACUAACUAGAGUUUGAUACAAGAAGGAUUGAGUACGGUGAGUGUAGAGAUAAAAUUCUAUUAUACCACUAUGGAACUGGUAAAGGCGAAGGCAACCUUCUAUUUAAAAACUGACGUUAAGGGACGAAGGCUCGUUAUAAAAAACAGGAUUAGAUACCCUGGUAUUUUGGGCAGACAAUGAUGAGUGCCAUAUGCAAGAUUAAUUUUUGUGUAUAAAUGAAAGUGUAAGCACUCCACCUCAAGAGUAACAUGGCAACAUGGGAACUGAAAUCAUUAGACCGUUUCUGAAACUCGUAGUGAAGUAUGUUGUUUAAUUUGAUAACCCACAAAUAACCUUACCACAACUUGAAUUACUUUAGUUUAAAGUAACAAGCGUUGCACGGCUGUCUUCAGUCAAUGUUGUGAAACUGUGGUUAGAUCCAUUGAAUUGACGUAAACCCUUACUUUGUUUAUUAUAGAGUAGUUCGCCGCUAUAUUGGUAGUGAUAUAUGGGACAAAGACAAGUCAUCAUGACCUGAACGUUGUGGGCUAUAGACGUGCCACAUUGCCUUAACAAAAAGAUGCAAAAUUGCGAAAUUUAGCUAAUCUAGAAAAAGGAAUUAAUACGGAUUGUAGUCUG
rnacentral:rRNA from 1 species